UCAACACAUUUGACCGGCGUGACACUUAGAUAAAGUACGGGAUCUGUGGAGUGCAUUUCGUUCAAGACUGUUUCUAGAGGUUGUUUCAGAAGCGGGUUGCAAUGGCUGAAGGAGAGCUGGAAGCGACGAGGAGAUGUUUGAGAGAGUUUUCAAUAGAAGCCCGAGAUCUGUACCAGCCGGCCACCUUCAAACAAAGGGAGGGCGGCUCCUUCGAUGUGGUGGAUGAGGAGGCUGCGGAGAAGUGAAUUACUGGUAUGACAUGGAGUUCGAUGUAAAGUAUAACUACUUCCAGCUCCUCGAGUCUCUUUCUACUGUCCUGGGCAAGAACUAGGGGAUUUUGGGAUACUGGAGGUGUGACGGUCACGUGGACUCUUUAGCCAGCAGAACAGAAGAGUGCGGGCAACAUCAGGGGUCACGCAGGGGUCAACCCCAGUCACCCCAAGGCCAGAGAACCCCAGAGAGGAAGGGCAUCUCACUAGCAGCAAGGAGGACCUCUGGACAUCUUCAUUCAUAUUUAUUUUUAAUAAAAGAGGGACAUCUUG